rnacentral:rRNA from 1 species
CGUACACUCCUGCGGGAGGCAGCAGUGGGGAAUAUUGGACAAUGGGCGCAAGCCUGAUCCAGCCAUGCCGCGUGAGUGAUGAAGGCCCUAGGGUUGUAAAGCUCUUUCACCGGUGAAGAUAAUGACGGUAACCGGAGAAGAAGCCCCGGCUAACUUCGUGCCAGCAGCCGCGGUAAUACGAAGGGGGCUAGCGUUGUUCGGAUUUACUGGGCGUAAAGCGCACGUAGGCGGACUAUUAAGUCAGGGGUGAAAUCCCGGGGCUCAACCCCGGAACUGCCUUUGAUACUGGUAGUCUUGAGUUCGAGAGAGGUGAGUGGAAUUCCGAGUGUAGAGGUGAAAUUCGUAGAUAUUCGGAGGAACACCAGUGGCGAAGGCGGCUCACUGGCUCGAUACUGACGCUGAGGUGCGAAAGCGUGGGGAGCAAACAGGAUUAGAUACCCGAGUAGUCCCAUGAU